rnacentral:lncRNA from 1 species
CCUCUCUCUUAGAACACUGCUCUGAGUCCUCCACGCUGAGAAGUCAAAGAUGAAAGACUGCGCUGGAGAGAGAGACACAGCUGUUGCCGAUGAGAAAACUGAGGCUUGGCCGUUGAUAUGAUCUGUCCAUGGUCCUGAAGACAGAGGUGCCAAUGAUGACGCUUUUUCAUCUCUGCUGUUUCUGCUCCUGGUUCAUCCCUUGUUCUGCCCAUUCCAUUUGUGGACAACACAAAACACCUGGGAUUUCUCUACCCUAUUCUUCUUAUGAACAUCGAGCGAGUACAACCCUCUGGGGUCUCUACUGAUUCCCUGCUCACAUCCCCUUUCCCUCCACAUCAGACUGUCUGCAUCUCCCAGGACAGAACUCCCACAUCUCCCAGGAGCUCCAGCUGCAGCUUCAACUUUCAGUACCUAGCAGCUGGGCUUACUCCAGGAAGACACUGGUGGAAUGGAGAGAGCAGAGACUUCCAGUUCAAAUUCUGACUCCAUCACUCAGGCAAAUAGCUAAUCCCCCUGAUCACCAGCUUCCUCAAAGGUCAAGUGAGGACAAUUGUUAUACUUCGCAGGAUUGCUGCGAAGAUGUGAGAGUGUAUGGAAAGUAUCUGGUUCAGGUACCUGAUGCAAUGUGGGUGCUCAAUAAAUGCUCAUUACCCUUUUAUAGCCCUGUUCCCCUUGUGGGGUGGCAAGGAGAGGUGGAGGCUUCUGGAAGACAAAGCUCAAAGAUGGAGUCCACUAGGCUAGGAAAUAGCUUGGCAGCUGGAGUGAGAGCAAGGGAGGAUUCAGGGGUGGCAGAGAUCAAAGCCUAAAUUAUGCAGAUUAUUCCUUUGUUCCUUGUAGUUUGCACUUGCUUUGGUGCCUCCUGGGGUGUGAGGAAAGACAAGCUCACAUCAUAUGCACACAGAUACACAAAAGUACACAGGGACAAACAUACACAUGAACCUAAAUGCACAUGAAAAUAAACCCCACCACAACACACACAAACACACAUAUGCAUGCUCACAAGUGUGUGUAUGCACUCUGAACACAAAUUUAUCUACGUGUUCAGGCAAUUGUUCAGAAGCUCAUGUGCUCAUGAACAUGUGUAAAUGCACAAUCUUGUGUGUUCAUGCAAGCACAUAUACACACACACAUGUUCACAACCACUAGUCCACACAGGCAUGCAUAAAUGCUUGUCCACAUGUGUGCACACUCCCUUUUCAAAUCCCCAACUCAAAAUAGAAGCAUAAGGUGCAACAUUUGUGCCUCUCUGUCGUUGAGAGAGAGGAGGCUUUAGAAAGACAGCUUUGCAAAAGAAUGUAGAGAAAUUGACAGGGAUUCCAUGCAUUUCAGGAAAGGUUAAGAGGUGGAGGGUGUCCAAUAGCAAUAGCUGGAUGAAAGGGUACAGAGGAAACUAGUUCAACCAAUGUGGAAGUCAGUGUGGCGAUUCCUCAG